rnacentral:lncRNA from 1 species
AUUAAUGAAAAAAUUUAAAUCCACAAAAGUAAAGAGAAUGGUGUUAAAACUGCACACUUUACCAAUACCAAUACACGUAUAAUCUUGUUUCACCCAACACAUUUAUAUUCUCCUAUCACUGAAGUAUAUUGUAGAAAAUCCCAAGCAUUAUUUUAUUUCAACCAUACUUUAGUAAGUUACAGUUUUAUGUAAUGUAUGAGUUACAAUAAAUGCAAUCGUUAUUGUCACUACCAUAUUAUUUUUGUGUUGAGUUCAGCUUUAAUGGAACCCUCCCCAAGCUGACUCCAGUGUUCUAAAAUGGCUCAUCUCUACUUUCUUCUGGGGCAUACUAUUUCCUCUCAGAAUGACAAUUCUGUGUUGCCCUUGCCUUUUUAAAUUAAAUUACUUUAUUAUUACAUUUAGCAGAAAUUCCUCUAAGUUUUUGGUAAAUGAAAAGAAAUUUACCACAUUUAUGAGAGGUUUGGGCUAAGGAAUGGGUAAGAGCCUCUGCUUACAUCUUAUUCAAAAUUUAGGUCCUGGUGGCUUAAAAAUGGCUCAAUUACAAUUGUUCAUUGUAUUUUUUUAGAUUAUUUGAAAUAAGCCAAGAAGUAGGCCAAAUAAUUCUAAAUUCUUUUUGGAAGUAACUAUCGUACAAAAUCUUUAACCCAUAAGUUGGUGAUUUAAUUAUUUAUUUUGUUCUUCCAGAAGGACCUAUAUCUCAAGGUAACCAAAUAAGUAUAACUAAUAAGAAAUAGUUUUUUGCUUUUUUUAACAAAAGAAUCACAUAUAGUAUAAUACAAUAAAAUAAUUUUUUAAAAUCACUACUGCCCUUUAUUAUUAAAUAAACUAAAUAAUCUAUUCAAGCUAAUACCAUUAUAUGAAAAAUUAACUUAGAAAUGAAUAUUCACAGUCCACCAAAAAGUAAGCUGGUGUGAUAUAAAGCUUUGUAAUGGAGGAAUUAGACUGUAACUAUCUAAACCUCAAAAUUAAUUUUAUCUGAACCAAUAGGAAAUAAAUGACACAUGUAUACUGAUGCAAUACAAUAUGAAAUACUCAGCUUCAUCUCUAAGUUAUUCUUGCCUAAUUUUUUAAUCUGAAUUUAGUCAAGUCCAUAGAUCUAAAUUUCUUUUUAUUACAAAUGCAGGGAAUAGAGUGGCAUGUAAAUACCACCAGGAUACAUUUGCUAAACCUAAAAGAGAAUUGGUAUUUUCCUCCCAACAAGUUCAUAACUAAAAUGUAAAGGAAUGGGAAUGGAUUUUCUACAUUAAAGAUUUAAAAAACAAUAUCUAGCCCUGUUUCCAACAACUCGCUUUAUAAUUUUUUAAAUCUAUUUUUUAUUUUUUUGAGACGGAGUCUCACUCUGUCGCCAGGCUGGAGUGCAGUGAGGCGAUCUCAGCUCACUGCAACCUCCUCCUCCUGGGUUCAAGCAAUUCUCCUGCCUCAGCCUUCCAAGUAGCGGGGAUUACAGGUGCGCACCAACACAUCUGGCUAAUUUUUCGUAUUUUUAGUAGAGAUGGGGUUUCACCAUGUUGGCGACCUCCUGACCUCAGGUGAUCCACCUGCCUCGGCCUCCCAAAGUGCUGGGAUUACAGGUGUGAGCCACCAUGCCGGGCCCAACAACUCACUUUAGAAAGACACUUCAGAGACAAUUAGGAGAUUUAGAAAAUUCAGGAAUAUGAACUGAGCAUUAGAUGAUAUUAAGGAACUAUUGGAAUUUGUGGGUGUGAUAAUCAUACUGUGAUUUGGGGGAAGAAAUAUCGAUGAGUUGGUGAUGCAUACUAAAGUAGAAUGACACUUCAAGACAUGACACUUCAAGAAAAGUCAUGAAGCAAAACUGACAAAAAUUAUAAUUAGUGCUGGUACGUGAUAGUUUAAUUUCUUUUCUAACUAUAAGUAAAGUUUAAAUUUGCAUAAAAAACAGGCUUCUAACAAGAUGUUGCUUAAGAUACCCUCUUACUUAUAGUGGUUCUCAUUCAUGUCUGUUUAUUAGUUCACUUGGGAAAGUUUAGAACUAACUGCACAGAUUAAUCAUGGUAGCUGAGCAUGGACCUUGAACAUUAAAAAUAAAUCCUCAGAUGAUUCUAAUGUGUAUCAAGGGUAGAGGAUGACAUCUCUAGGAUGUGAAAACUGAUUUUCUUGAUAGAGCGUAGUAAAGAGUAGGCUGAGAGAUCAUUCAGAUAGUAGUCUCCUUUUUUAGCCUUCUCCCCCUACAUGGGGCAGAUAGCAUUCAAGCACACAAGUUUAUUUCAGAUGCCAUGUGACACAUCAACCUCCAAUUGUGUGUGCUGCUGGGGAAAGGGCCCCGAUGAAGAGUGGAGGGUGGUAUCUUCUAUACUGCCUGAUGUAUCAGAAAAGCAAGGAGAGCCCUCAAUUCUAACUACAAAUUCACUUUCAGAUCACAAACCAAGUCUUAUGCAGUUGGGUAUUCAAACUAAUAAACUCUGACCAAUUUGCUUUGUUUCUUCAAGGAUGCAGACUUAACAUGUAAUUCAAUUAGAUUUCAAUCUCUGUACUUAAGUUCUUGUGGAAUUGCAAUAGCUAAGUAACACAAGUUAGUAGAGGGGUAGAACACAUAAAGAAAUAAUUUUCAUAAAAUGUAUUAAGUCUUUAAAUCAUUCAUGGGGCUUUCAGGAAGAAAGUGUUCUGUAUGAAUUCCAUUAUAAGGGAUUGUAUAAUAGAGGCUUCACAACCACUGCAAGGCGAAAGGAGUGAGGGUCAAAUAACUUGCUAUUAAUAAUUUGAGCUCACAGUGUGAAAGACACUUCAGUUUGUCAGAAAAAUUCAGCUGUUGCUAUAUUUAUGGUUCGCCCCUGGGCUGCAGAGUAGAAUCAUCUCGGAGACGCAAGUGAGUGACUCUCAAGGGAAAUCACUGGAAGGCACCACAUAACUCUCAGGUUGCAGUACCUGCGUGUGUACUUCUCAAGAAGCACACCUAAAAUCUACAGAUCCCAUACCUGCUCACAGAUGUCUCCGCAACUGCUCCAGGAAAUCAUGUGCUAUCUCUUCAUUCCACUUUCCAAGCCUCAAGUGAGUUUUUCUCAUUGACAAACUUUAACCUGGAAACAUGGGAAGGACGUUCUGUGAAUUGUUGUCCUUGGCUUCUUCUUUAUCAUAAUAAAGGAAUUGGGAACUUAAAAAGGGAGGAUGAGGUGGUCACCAAAUUAGCAACAGAUAAUUAAGUGCAAAGUACUAAAAUGUGGAUAAUUCUUUGUGGGUCUGGUAGAAACACCUAAAAUAAGUGGGCAAGUACAUUAAGAUUUCCUGAAACCACACUUUAAAUAAAUCUAGAAAGAAGAGCAGAUGAAAAAAGGAGGAGGUUAUUAAGGUAGAAAUUUGACAUGGGCAAAAUAAAAGAAGCACUGCACUGGUUUAUAAGAAUCAGCAAUUUAUUUUUCAUUUGUUUUUUGUAGUAUUUUAUCAAGGUGUUAUUUUUAUUUUAAGUGUUUAUUCUGUAUUUUAUUAAGAUUUUAUAAUUUUAUAUAAUAAAAUUCCUAUAACUAAAAUGUAAUUUUUAUAAAUUUAUAUAAAUAAACAUUAUCCAGUUCAACAUACAGAAUAUUUUUCUUACCACGGGAAGUUGCCUUGUGCCCUAAAAAGUCAAUCCACUCUUCCACAGAGGAAGCUGCCGUUCUAAUUAUUGUCAUAGAUAAGCUUUGUCUGGUCUUUGAAUGCUUCCAUGUGAUAUUAAAUAGGAUGUAAUCUUUGUAUGUGGGUUCACUCAACAUAGUGUUUUCACAUUCUGGUUAUAGCUGUCUUGUUUUUUAUUUCUGUGCCAUAUUCUAUUGCAUGACUUGCCAAAAACACAGAUGGUUAUUUAGGUUGUUUCAAAUAUGGGGCUAUUACAAUAAAGCUUCUGUGAAUGUGGCUAUGUAUAUAUUCAUUCAUAUUGGGUUAUCUAAGACUGGAAAUGUUGAAUCAUGAGACAGACAAUAUUUAAUUUUUUAAAAACCAACAAAGAGAUUUCCAGUGUGGUUGCACUAUUUUAUACUCUCAUCACAAAUGUAAAUUUCCAAUUUGACACAAUUUUUACCCAAAUUUGGUGUUGUCACAAUUUUUUCAUGUAAUUUUAGCCAUUCAAGUGGAUGUAGAGUAAUAUUUCAUUGUGCUUUCAAUUUUAGUUCCUUGAUAACUUUUGAAGUCAUAUGAUUAUUGACCAUUCUGAUAUCUUCUCUGUAAAAUGCUAUUUUUAAUGUAUAUAUCUUUUUAUUAUGGAUUUGUAGGAGUAUGCGUAAUAUGUUUUAGCUAUAAGACUCUUGUUAGAUAAAUUCUUUCAAAAAAUUUUUUUCCAAUCUGUGACUUAUUAUUUAAAUGCCAUGAAUGCUGGUUCUUGAUGAAGAGAAAUUUGCAAUUUUCAUAAAGUUCACUUAAGCUUUUUAAAUUUCUGUUUUCAGAUUUUGUGUCCUAAGGAUUCUUGUAAAGAACUCCAUAUCUUUUAAGAAAAUUGGCUAUAUACCUAAAACUAUUCUACUCCCCAAGUAUCUCUGGCUCAAAUAACUUCACCGACAAAUUCUGUAAACUAUUGAAGGAAAUGUAUCAAUUCUACAGAAACUUUUCCAUAAAUUUGAAGUACAAGGAAUUUUUUUUAAACUCAUUCAAUGAGGUUGGCAUUAAAAUGUUACCAAAACCUGAUCAGACAGGAAAAAGAAAAGUUCAAAGUGAUAACCCUUCAUCAACAUAGAUGCAAAGAUUGCAAACUGAAUUUCAACAAAGACAUCAAACAAUAGAUUAAAAAAUACAUCAUGAACAACUGGGUAUUUUCCAAGAAAUAAAAAGUUGAAUGUUAAAAAUUGAUCAAUAUAAUUCAAUUAACAUGCUGAAUUUAGUUUAACAAACUAAAAAAGAAAAUCUAUAUAAUUAACUCAGUAAAUGCAGGAAACUUAUUUGAAUAGUGAGGAUGUUCUCCAAUUUUUUUUCUAGAUGUAUUUUUAACUUUCAUAUGUAUACCUGUGAUUCAUACCAAAUUAAUUUGUGUGUUAUGAUUUAGUAGACAACAAAGUUUCUUCUAUACAAUAUCUAGUGUUUCAAGCACAUUUAUUGAAAAUAUUUUCCUUUGUUUAUUGAAUUAUCUUGAUGUUUUUGACAGUAUCAAUUGACAAUAUAUGUAUGGGUUUUUUUCUUUUCUGUUACACCGAUCAUUUUGCCUGUCUUUAUGCCAAUAUCCAUUCUAUUAAUCAUGAUAACAUUUUAAUAAACUUUGAAAUCAAGCAGUAUUGGUUAUCCUAUUUGUUUCUCUACUUCAUAAUUCUUUGGGGCAUUCAAAUAUCUUUACACUUCCAUACAAAUAAUUUUUUUUUAAUUUUGUUAAUUUCUGUGACAAGUCUGAGGAAUUUUGACAGGGAUUGCAUUAAAUCUAUAGAUCAAUUCUGGGACAACUGACUUCUAAGUAAUUGAGUCUUCCAAUCUGUGACAUAUCUCUUG